GAUGGUUAGAUGGCUUCAAAGAAAUGCAUUUCGAAAAAUUGACGUUUAAAGUUCAAUGAAAUAUUGGAAUGUUUCCGCAACGUUUCCGCAUACCUCCGUAUACUUGCCUAGCCUCGUGCGGUGACAUAACCAUUAACCAUCUUGCAAGAGAUAUUAAUUUUUUCUAAGUAAAGAACCCAAGAGUAAACUUAGUUGGGACAGGACAAUCUACAUAGCUGGAAGAUGGCAACAACCGUUCAGAGAGGCAGUGAGGCUGUGAGGCUAUGAGGAGCUGGAGAUGAGGAGACUGAUGGUGGUGAGAGUGGUACUAGGGUUACUGCUCGACUGGUUGGCUUGGGGACCAUAGGGAGAGGACAGAUACCACUGUCUCUGUGCCGAUAGCCCAUCUGGCUCAAUAAUUUCAGGAAACUCUCCAGGAUCAAACCCUUCCUUCAAUAGGGAGUGCUCCACCUCUGUUGCCUCGUCUGCCCUCUGCUUCAUGAACACUACCCCGGGUUGUGAGCUGUGUACUCUGAAGUGGUGGCCCUUCUUGAUCCCGAUCAGUUUCCUGAAGUGAGGAACCAAGAAGCCAAUCCAGUCGUAGGUUGGUACAAUGGUCCCCCCAUCCUGAUCUGCUACCAGCUGGGCUGUGUUGCAUCUGGAACCAUGUAAGUUUGUGUUAAUUAUGUAGUCAAAUGUAUGUACACUUUCAGAACUGCUAAAACACUUCUGUUUGGACAUGACUUCUGUUUGGACAUGUACCUGCCAGACUUGUUGACAACAUCUACGAUGUCUUGGAGACAGCCAAUGUCAGUCCUCCUAUAUAGCCUCUUAAAAAAAGUCCGAAACUCCAGUCAGGAGCGAACUUUGUGUGUCCGACCACUAAAAAGCUGAGUGUUAUCUGUGUGUGUCUGCCAGUCAUCACUCUCCAAAGAAGACUCGUCAAUUAAGAAAAACACCUGGCGUGGAAACGCCUCGUUCUGGAGACCAAAAAGGGCACACUUCCUUGGGGUCAGGAAAAACACUGGACCAGGUUGGAGAGGGUUAGACGGGUAGUGGACCUGUGGACAAAACAAAAAUAAGAAGAGUUAGGAGGAACACAGCAGUUCAGUGGAGGAGCAGUAAGAAUACCGUCAACUGAGUAAUGCUUCUUCACAGACUCCUUACAUUGUUGAAGCUGCUUGGUGUAGAGUGACCUCUCCAGAGUAACUACAUGCAAGUGAUCCAGUGCUGACGACUUCUCUAUGUCACUGUUUGUGGCUCUCUUGAUUCCAGCGCUGUGUUGCUGGCACGUCCAGCACAGGUCGGACAUGGGUUUCAUCACCACAACUGCAGGAAGGAGAGUCUGCCAGUACCUGCAGAAUGUUGUGUAUGCUGACACCCUUCCUCCUGUUGCCAUACUCUGGUACUGUUUCCAAAUGCCUCGCUUCGACAAGCUUGAUGGUAGCAGCUUGAUGUCAGUGCCGCUGUAUCCCGGAACGCGUCCUGGCAGAAGGAGACCGUGCAUCUCGGUGUAAUUGGAAACGGAACAUUGAAGAACAUAUUGGCCACCCUAUUGGCCACCCUUGAUGAGCAUACGCAAUGUGACCUCGUAUCCUUGGUGUGUCUAGGUGUUUGUGAAGUCUGCCCACCAAGCCGCCAAUCACACUCAUGCUUGCACUGAGUUUGCCAAGAAUGACCAAGUCCAAUUCCGCCCUUGUCAUCUCGCUGCAGUCACUCCUAAAUUCAAGGACGUCGUUGGGAGAGAAGCGCUCAGAGCAAACAAUACUGUUGUGUCCCGAACACCCACAACCCCCGUCUAAAAACGUUUGUAUUCUGUCGUGCUCUGUCUGGUCGAGAAUACCCAUGUCACACCCUGUUGUGUUCGUUGGAUUCUGUGGUGGCAAUCGUGCAAGAGCGUGGGCAAUCUGUUGCCCUGCAGGUGGAGCCUCUCCAUCGCUGUCCUCUGGGUCGCUCGGUUCAUCAUUCUGGCUUGUUAAAGAUUCAAGCUCAUCAUCUGCAAUAAAUAAAUAGUUCUGUCUCUAUGUUUAUUGUCAAUGCUAAUGUUUAUUGUCAAUGCUAAUGUUUAUUGUCAAUGCUAAUGUCUAUUAUUGUUUACUAGUAUCUAUUGUUUACUAUGAAUAAUUAUGGAACUUACACUCAGUGAAGUUCUCUCUAUCGAAGUCUUCAUCAUCCAGGCCGUCAUAAUCGUUGAGGAAGUAAUCUUCCAGUACUUCCUCGUAGGCUUGGUUAUCUUCUUCGCAGAAGAGGUGGCUUAAAUCAUUCAGAGCCUUUGCAGCCUGGUUUGCUGUGGCCAUUCUGAACUGUAACUAGCCAGAAACUAGAGCGCAGCUGCAGCAUCUUCAAAAAAUACAUUUUAGCAAGCGAGGGGAAUCCCCGUAAUUUCCUUAAACUAGUAGGAAAUCUCUGUGGAUCCCGCUCCAGUCGUGGACAGCCAGCCAGGUCCCAGAAUCACCCCUCAGCGGACCUGGCCAAUUCGAAACUAAACUUCAAUGAAUAAAUACAUGGUUUUAACUUUUACAUGACUUUAGUUUUUUCAAUAAAAAAAAAAAAAAAAAAAAAAAAAAAAGGAAA